rnacentral:rRNA from 1 species
UACGGAGGGCGCAAGCGUUGUUCGGAAUCACUGGGCGUAAAGCGCGUGUAGGCGGCUUGGCAAGUCGGGUGUGAAAGCCCGGGGCCUAACCCCGGAACUGCAUUCGAAACUGCCUCGCUCGAGUCCCGGAGAGGAUGGUGGAAUUCCCGGUGUAGUGGUGAAAUACGUAGAUAUCGGGAGGAACACCAGCGGCGAAGGCGGCCAUCUGGACGGUGACUGACGCUGAGACGAGAAAGCGUGGGGAGCAAACAGG